rnacentral:rRNA from 1 species
AGAACGAACGCUGGCGGCAUGCCUAACACAUGCAAGUCGAACGAAGGCUUCGGCCUUAGUGGCGCACGGGUGCGUAACGCGUGGGAACCUGCCCCUUGGUUCGGAAUAACAGUUAGAAAUGACUGCUAAUACCGGAUAAUGACUUCGGUCCAAAGAUUUAUCGCCGAGGGAUGGGCCCGCGUAGGAUUAGCUUGUUGGUGAGGUAAAAGCUCACCAAGGCGACGGUCCUUAGCUGGUCUGAGAGGAUGAUCAGCCACACUGGGACUGAGACACGGCCCAGACUCCUACGGGAGGCAGCAGUGGGGAAUAUUGGACAAUGGGACGAAAAGGCCCGU